AGACAUUCCCGCACCCGGUAACGUCCUUCAGCUGGCCCCUAAACAAAUAUAUACUAGUUCAGUGAUAAUGAACGCCAUACUAAUUUCCGAAUUGUACACAAGAAACUAAAAUUAAAAAAAUACAAGACUAACAAAGGCCAGAGGCUCCUGACUUGGGACAGGUGCAAAAAUGCGGCGGGGUUAAACAUGUUUAUGAGAUCUCAACCCUCCCCCUAUACCUCUAGCCAAUGUAGAAAAGUAAAUGCAUAACAAUACGCACAUUUAAAAUUCAAUUCAAGAGAAGUCCGAGUCUGAUGUCAGAAGAUGUAACCAAAGAAAAUAAACAAAAUGACAAUAAUACAUAAAUAACAACAGACUACUAGCAGUUAGCUGAUAUGCCAGCUCCAGACUUCAAUUAAACUGAUUGAAAGAUUAUGAUUUCAUCAUAUGAAUAUCAGGCACAAUCCUUCCCGUUAGGGGUUUAGUAUCAUACCA
rnacentral:lncRNA from 1 species